rnacentral:lncRNA from 1 species
GGUGUGUGUGUACCAGGUAGUAUAACUGUCUAGGUGUGUGUACCAGGUAGUAUAACUCUCUAGCUGUGUGUGUGUGUGUGUACCAGGUAGUAUUGCUCUAGGUUAGACUCUAGGUGUGUGUAUACCAGGUAGUAUAACUCUCUAGGUGUGUGUAUACCAGGUAGUAUAACUCUCUAGGUGUGUGUAUACCAGGUAGUAUAACUCUCUAGGUGUGUGUAUACCAGGUAGUAUAACUCUCUAGGUGUGUGUAUACCAGGUAGUAUAACUCUCUAGGUGUGUGUAUACCAGGUAGUAUAACUCUCUAGAUGUGUAUACCAGGUAGUAUUGCUCUAGGGUAGACUCUAGGAGUGUGUACCAGGUAGUAUAACUCUCUAGGUGUGUGUACCAGGUAGUAUAACUCUCUAGGUGUGUGUACCAGGUAGUAUUGCUCUAGGGUAGACUCUAGGUGUGUGUACCAGGUAGUAUUGCUCUAGGGUAGACUCUAGGUGUGUGUGUACCAGGUAGUAUAACUCUCUAGGUGUGUGUGUACCAGGUAGUAUAACUCUAGGUGUGUGUGUAACAGGUAGUAUAACUCUCUAGGUGUGUGUACCAGG